rnacentral:rRNA from 1 species
GACGAACGCUGGCGGCGUGCUUAACGCAUGCAAGUCGAGCGGUAAGGCCCUUUCGGGGGUACACGAGCGGCGAACGGGUGAGUAACACGUGGGUGACCUGCCCUUAGCUCUGGGAUAAGCCUGGGAAACUGGGUCUAAUACCGGAUAUGACUCCAUAACGCAUGUUGUGGGGUGGAAAGCCUUGUGCGGCUAGGGAUGGGCCCGCGGCCUAUCAGCUUGUUGGUGGGGUGAUGGCCUACCAAGGCGACGACGGGUAGCCGGCCUGAGAGGGCGACCGGCCACACUGGGACUGAGACACGGCCCAGACUCCUACGGGAGGCAGCAGUGGGGAAUCUUGCGCAAUGGGCGAAAGCCUGACGCAGCGACGCCGCGUGUGGGAUGACGGCCUGGUGU